GCACAACCUACUACACUUCCUUUCUUUUCUAUGCUAGAAACUAAUCGACAGCUGUAUAUUAUUGGAGUUAGUUUUUGAUUCACACAAAGGGCUAUUGUUUAAAUAUGACUAGAUUCUAGAAUCGGAUGCCCACCACUGAGUGCUCUCGACUUCGAUUGUUGAGCUGUCAAAGGCCUUAGAUCCAGGUUUGUAAUCAUGAGGAAGUGACGGUUUCAUAUGGUAAUCAAACAUAUGAAAGAGUUUAUCGACUCUAUACAACAUGAUUUAGUUAACCGACUUUGGAAUGAAGAAGGCUAUGUUGAAGAAUCUCAAAUUGAGAAUUUAGUGGUAGAUUUAAUGUUGGGAUUUAUUAAAAAGAUGUUUUGAUCUUGUAAGCAUUAGUUUGUGUUUCAUACUUUUGUAAUUCCGUAUACUUGAACGGGUUGUUGGGUUGUUUAAUACUAGUUAACUUUUGUGGUGAGCAUGUGCAUUGGUGUGUAAUUGGAAUUAUAUUGGGAAAUGUUACUAAAAAUUCUGGAAUUUUGCA
rnacentral:lncRNA from 1 species